CAGCAGUAGCCACGGGAAUACAGAGGGUGCGAGCGUUAAUCGGAUUUACUGGGCGUAAAGCGUGCGUAGGCGGCUAAUUGAGUCGGAUGUGAAAUCCCCGAGCUUAACUUGGGAAUUGCAUUCGAUACUGGUUAGCUAGAGUGUGGGAGAGGAUGGUAGAAUUCCAGGUGUAGCGGUGAAAUGCGUAGAGAUCUGGAGGAAUACCGAUGGCGAAGGCAGCCAUCUGGCCUAACACUGACGCUGAGGUACGAAAGCAUGGGGAGCAAACAGGAUUAGAUACCCCAGUAGUCCCUGUCUCUUAUAC
rnacentral:rRNA from 1 species